UUCUCCCCAAUUAAACCCUGCAGCUUCUUUGCACGCCAUCUAUCUCAGGAGAUUGAAAAGGUUAUGGAGAAAUGCAUCCUCUAUCCAAUCUUCUUUAAAUCCUUCGUCAUCAUCUUCAGAUUCAUCGUCUGUGUUCUUUUACUUCUUUCGUAUUCGUAUUCUCAUUUGAGUCGUUCCAUUGAGAAACCCUAAUUCAGCCGUUUAUUCUCUAUCUCAGAUCAGAUCUGCGAUUGUCUCUGCUAUACGUUGAUGAAACCAAGUUCUUUUAACAUCUCGCAUUCAUGUGGUGUGUCUUUCCCUCCUCAUAGUAACCCUAAAUUCAUCCACCGCCACAUUAACGCCACCACCAUGGUGAUGAAGAUGCUAGAAAUUCAUCAGUGAUGGCAGAUUACAAGUACCAUUUGUUCUUCAUUAGGGAAAUUGAUAAAAAUAGCUUUCCAAUUCGUUUAGUAUCUAGGGUUUUUAUUUUGUUUAAACCUCCAAUUCGUUGAUGAUGUUCAUUUGAUAUUAGGCUCAGAAUGAUGCUGAUAUGAUCAGGAAUGCGAAAGAUAGUGCUUCCUUUGUGGCAACCAAUGCUUAUAUUCAACUCAUCAAGGGCAUCUUACCUGAAGAAAUCCAAUAACUUGCAUACCAUAUUAUUAUUAGAUUUCAUUGGCUUCGAUUUACAAAGGGUGAGCAAAUGGUUUGGACCAAAUCGAACCGGCUACUAACCGACCCGACCCGUUAUCCGAAGUUACAUAAAAUAACCGAACAUCGAACCUUAGAGAGUGUAUCGGUCUGUUGUUCUUGAAUGUCAAUCGCUCUUUAGGGUUAAAAUGGAAUGACAUCUAGCAUCUCUUUCUCCCUCCUUGAAAACCCUAUCAACGUCUCUUUCAAUUGGUAAUAUUUAAAUUUAACAUGCAAGAUUUCUAAUUGUUCAUUUGAUAGUACAUAUUUACUUCACUAUGCAAAAUCAUGUGGUUUUUGACAGGGUUUGAAUAGAGCUUUUAGGUGCUCUUUCCUGCAAACGCAGGACUUGCUGAUUUGAAAAUACGGCUCAUAACUAUUUUUUAUAUUUGUUUCUAAACUUCUUUUUUUUGUUUUGGAUAUUUAUCUUGAUUUGGUGUAGACAAUUGACAAGUGUUUCGAUGACCGGUAAUGGUGGCAGGGAUGAAUGGUUGUUUGCUACAUCAGAUGGUAUUAUUGGACUUGGUGUGGGAUCAUUUCUGGAUCUCCGGAGUUGGUUCCCUAAUAAUGAAGUUUCUCCAUGCGAUGUCUGUAGUGAAGCUGGAAUCAAGUAAUCACGACUUUUACAACACGGUUUAUUGCGCCACCGAUAUCCACAAGUCUCUUUACCAUACCGAAGAUGUUCCUCAAGGUAGUAAUCUCUCUAUUUUCAUAUUAUUUUGUUCGUUAAUUACCCUUGAGUUCGUCAGUGAUUAAUUGUUUGGUUCUCUUGGUCAAUCAGUAUAUGUUUGGUUGUUGUGUACAACCAUUAUAUUGAAGUAGUAUAGUGUUUUUAGCUAUGUAGUUUGAUUGUUUCAAUGUUGUGGGAUCGGCAUGUUUCAAAUUAUAUUGUAUGUUUUUAUUUCUUCUUUUUACUUUGUCUGAAAAUGUGCAACCUUAAAUAGUUGUUUUGUGUGUACAGAGCCUUCAAUUUUAUGUGAGGAGUAGGUUUCUCAUAUUCAAAGACCAAAGACCUUUCAUCAAUAGAAUUAAUCUAUUUUUGAAAGAUAACAAUCAACCCUUCAAGUGAUGCUUAAGUUAUAUAAAAUAUAUGGUUUUCUACAAUAUUCGAUUUUAUGCUUACAUACAGGUUGCUUUGAGCUUUACGGAUGACUACUAUCAUGUUCGAAGUGCAUUUUCUCUAUUAAACUAAGUAAGCAUAUACAACCUUAUUUUAUUAAAAUAAAAAAAAAAUAAUUUGAUGUUUUCUAAAUCGACCUUCAAGGUGUAACAUUUAGUUUUACUUUCUAUUCAAACAUAUCAGCGUCGGACUGAUUUUUACACUUUGCUUGAAAACAUUCACGAUUUGAAAGAAAGGAAGGCGAUUGAAGUUCCUAUAUAUGAUUUCAUGUAUAGCUUUUGCAUGAGCUACAGGUUUUAUAUAUCUUCUUUUACAACUUAGGUGGUGUUUGGACGUGUGUUUGGGAAGUCAUAACAAAUUAAAGUUAGAUAACCAGUUAUAAUAUAUCUGGUUGGUGAAAAAUAGUUUGGUCCUUUUGGACAUGCAUCUAUUGUAUGGGAUUGUAAUAAUCAAAUGAUCAGUGUUUUACUUCAUAACAAACAUUAUUAUUUGAAUUACAUGUUAUUAUAUAAAUGUUGGAAGGAAACCUUAUGUUAAAUUGGUUUCAAACUCAAUUCAGUUUUCAUUUUAUCAACUAGUUUUUUAGUUAUAGCUUUACUGAGCUCAGUUGUCUUUUCGGAUGAUCUGGAUCAAAGAAUUUGGAACUUGCAUUCGUCUGGCAGUUUUUUGGUGGCCGACAUUAAAUAUAUGAUUAGCAAGUUUGGUAGAUCCUCACCCUAAGUCCCUUUUGUUUGGAAUAGUUGGAUCCCAAAGAAAGUCGGAUUUGUUGUUUGGAUGGCAGAGAAAAAAACGUCUACUUACGAGAAUGGCCUUGGCUGCCAGAAACAUUAAAGAGGUUAAAAAUAUGGGUUUCUUAUGGAUAAAGGCUAGGUCUAAAGAGAUGUCUAUGACCCAGAGGGAUUUAAGUUCAUUCAGCAUGGUCACUUAAUAUCUUUUUUUUUUGUCUUGUCUCUGUUUGUUUUGGCUGGUGUAAUUUCCUUCUGAUGUAAUAUUUGGUGUAAAGCGCCUUGCUUAUCUAAUAAAAGUUUUAUGUUCGUUAAAAAAACAAUUUUAUUAUUUAUAUGACUAUCUCUAACAUUGUUUACUUCAAUAACAUUAAGUAUCCAAAUGCCUUUGCAAUUGUUAUUAAACAA